AUUUGAAUUAAAGCGAGAAAAUGACCAUUAAUUCUGAGGUGAUCUCAAAUCCUGGACAAUACGUACGAAAACGUCAUUAUUAUUAUUAGGUAGACAAGCUAAGACGGCAAGGAUUAAGAUAAGCGUUAAGGUUACGGUUAUAAUAUAUUGAUGUACAAUAGACUAGAUUUGAAGGGCGUUUUAGUGGAAUUGCCAGGUGUAACUUAGGUUAAGU